UGUUGUCGUCAUCGUGAGGACUGUGC
rnacentral:piRNA from 1 species